rnacentral:tRNA from 1 species
GGUGGGUUGGCUCAGUGGUUAGAGCAUCGAGAUAGGGACCGAAAGGUCGCGGGUUCGAAUCCCGCUAGAAGCU